rnacentral:misc_RNA from 1 species
CCAAUAGCGUAUAUUAAAGUUGUUGCAGUUAAAAAGCUCGUAGUUGAAUUUCGGGAUUGGCGCAUCGGUCGUGCCUUACGGGGUAUGAACUGGUGCAGUCAAUUUCUCACCUUCUGGAGAACCGCGAUGUCCUUAAUUGGGUGCCACGGGGAACCAGGACCUUUACUUUGAAAAAAUUAGAGUGUUUAAAGCAGGCAUUUUUGCUUGAAUACAUUAGCAUGGAAUAAUAAAAUAGGACGGCAUGGUUCUAUUUUGUUGGUUUCUAGGACCACCGUAAUGAUUAAUAGGGCUAGUUGGGGGCAUUAGUAUUCAAUUGUCCGAGGUGAAAUUCUUGGAUUUAUUGAAGACUAACUACUGCGAAAGCAGUUGCCAAGGAUGUUUUCAUUAAUCAAGAACGAAAGUUAGGGGAUCGAAGACGAUCAGAUACCGUCGUAGUCUUAACCAUAAACUAUGCCGACUAGGAAUCAGACGAUGUUAAUUUUUUAAUGACUCGUUUGGCACCUUACG